CUCCCGAACGUAUUGACAACGCGGUUAAUUAUUUCUCGCGGUUUUUUUUCGCGCGUUGUAUCGCGUUCAUCGCGUAUUAAUUAAUUCCAAUUAACGGGAGUGCCGUGCAAAGUUUCGCGCGAUAGUAAUUGCCCGCGUUUUCGCGAGAGCUGUGUCAAGUGCCUACGGAACAGAUACCAUCCUCCCCCCGUCCACGACAGCUUCAAAAGAGGCAAAUAAUGGGAGUGUCGCCUCGAGAAAAUCCUGCGAAGCUGACAAGCCGAGCAGCCUGAGAGAAGGAGGAAGUCUAGGAGAGGCAUCGGGCAUAAGCGUGAUAACUUUAUGAAAAUAUCCACGCGGGAAGAAGCUUCGCAUCGAGGAAAUACUAGCUGACAUCCCGAGCAGUCUUAGAGGAGGUGUGGAGGCCUAGGAGAGGCAUCAGGCGCCGGCGGAGCAACAUGCGAAUCAUCGUAGCGACGUUGCAGAAUAACUCCGCUGUUGCGCAUCGGUCGGUGAGUGAUGAUUGAAAUUUCAUAAUUAAGGUAACGAAUCUAUGACAAUUAUAUCAAACAUAUUACCGAAACGUUUGUGUCAAGUA